GACGAACGCUGGCGGCGUGCUUAACACAUGCAAGUCGAACGGAAAGACCCUGCUUUUGUGGGGCGCUCGAGUGGCGAACGGGUGAGUAACACGUGAGUAACCUGCCCUUGACUUUGGGAUAACUUCAGGAAACUGGGGCUAAUACCGGAUAGGAGCUCCUGCUGCAUGGUGGGGGUUGGAAAGCUUCGGCGGUUGGGGAUGGACUCGCGGCUUAUCAGCUUGUUGGUGGGGUAGUGGCUUACCAAGGCUUUGACGGGUAGCCGGCCUGAGAGGGUGACCGGCCACAUUGGGACUGAGAUACGGCCCAGACUCCUACGGGAGGCAGCAGUGGGGAAUAUUGCACAAUGGGCGGAAGCCUGAUGCGGCAACGCCGCGUGCGGGAUGACGGCCUUCGGGUUGUAAACCGCUUUCGCCUGUGACGAAGCGUGAGUGACGGUAAUGGGUAAAGAAGCACCGGCUAACUACGUG
rnacentral:rRNA from 1 species